UGACCGAGCAACGCCGCGUGAGUGAAGAAGGUUUUCGGAUCGUAAAACUCUGUUGGUAGAGAAGAACGUUGGUGAGAGUGGAAAGCUCAUCAAGUGACGGUAACUACCCAGAAAGGGACGGCUAACUACGUGCCAGCAGCCGCGGUAAAAG
rnacentral:rRNA from 1 species